CGAGUUCACAGGUUUUGUCAAAUUUUGCGUUAUCAAGGACAAGAAGUUUAGUUUUGCCUUCCUGAAAGAGAAUAAAGGACUAAACAGGGCCAUUCCAUCCAUUUUCCAUACUGCUUUCCCUACACAGGGUCACAGGGGUCAUGGAUGGGUGCAUUUCCCAGGGGACUCGGGGCACAAGGCAGGGGACAUCGUGGACAGGUUAUCAACUCAUUACAGGGCACAGUCGCACUCACAUUCGGACACCACGGACAAUUUGGGAAUGCCAUACAACCUGCAACACAUUUCUUUGAACUGGGGGAGGAAACCGGAGUACCAGAGGAAACCCUCGAGGCACAGGGAGAACAUGCAAACUCCGCACACAUAGGGCGGAGUGGCUGUAUCAUCCGGCUUGUUUUUACGACCUUGUCUCUUCUUUGUGCCCUUGCAUCUGUUUCCCUGGAUUCAGGGAAGAGAUAAGUAAGCGGGAAUCAGAAUCCACAACGGAAAACAACUAUCACAAGCCCUGAAGCGGAAAAAGAUUAGAGCUGGAGCAGGCGAUGAGAAGACAUGGUAGUAUUCAGGGAGAACCUAAACUAUCAUUCAGAAAUGGAGGGAAAAGAGAUAUGAGGAGAAAAAGAAAAGAAGAGAAAAAAACAACAACAACAACAGCUGGAAAACUGUAAACAACUUUAGAGGCAAGUAGAAUAAAUGUCCACAUAAUAAUCAGAAAUAUCAUGUUGAUUUUUUAUUUAUUUAUUUUUUUUGUUUACUGUGUAUAUCUUAAUAUCCACCAUUUUGUGAGUCUUCCUGAUCGUGCAUUGUUGUAACGUGUGAAAUCUCUCUCUGGUGGUUUUGCUAUUUUAAAGUAUACAAUAUAGAACUUGCAUCUUUAAAUGAUUACCUUUAUAAUAAUUUAUCAUUUAUUUAUAACUUUUCUGAACAGUUCUGCUCAGCGUCA
ensembl:lncRNA